rnacentral:rRNA from 1 species
AGAACGAACGUUGGCGGCAUGCCUAACACAUGCAAGUCGAACGAGACCCCAACUUCGGUUGGACGUCUAGUGGCGCACGGGUGCGUAACGCGUGGGAAUCUGCCCUUCGGUUCGGAAUAACUCGGAGAAAUCCGUGCUAAUACCGAAUAAUGACGCAAGUCCAAAGAUUUAUCGCCGAGGGAUGAGCCCGCGUAGGAUUAGCUUGUUGGUGAGGUAAAGGCUCACCAAGGCGACGAUCCUUAGCUGGUCUGAGAGGAUGAUCAGCCACACUGGGACUGAGACACGGCCCAGACUCCUACGGGAGGCAGCAGUGGGGAAUAUGGACAAUGGGCGAAAGCCUGAUCCAGCAAUGCCGCGUGAGUGAUGAAGGCCUUAGGUUGUAAAGCUCUUUUACCCGGAUGAUAAUGACAGUACCGGAGAAUAAGCUCCGGCUAACUCCGUGCCAGCAGCCGC